rnacentral:rRNA from 1 species
CCGGCGCACGGGUGAGUAACACGUAUCCAACCUGCCGUCUACUCUUGGCCAGCCUUCUGAAAGGAAGAUUAAUCCAGGAUGGGAUCAUGAGUUCACAUGUCCGCAUGAUUAAAGGUAUUUUCCGGUAGACGAUGGGGAUGCGUUCCAUUAGAUAGUAGGCGGGGUAACGGCCCACCUAGUCAACGAUGGAUAGGGGUUCUGAGAGGAAGGUCCCCCACAUUGGAACUGAGACACGGCCAA